GAUCCUUGAAAUAAUGCAUGCUACGGCAUAUCUAGCUUAUGUAACCCAAUACUUUCCUGGUAUAUAAAAGGGGGUAAGAAUUAAGUACUGGCUCAAACAAUUAGCAAUGUUUACUAAGGUGAUUCUACAAGCUGUCCUGUUUUACCUGGUGGCAAUCUCAAUAAAUCCUCCAGUAUAUUGCCCAGAUAAGGACCGAUUUGAUACUUGCAUUGUGGGAGGAAAAUGAGCGUUAACACUGCUGCACAUAAGGCACAUGCCUAAAAAGGAGAAAAAUUAAUAUGUAAAAUGAAGUUUAUGCUUUUGCAAAAUAAAGAAUAAUGAAAAUGUAUGCAGAUAAAAAAAAAUUA